GUCCUCAGGCAAGGAACAGAUGAAAAUUAUUGCAUCAAAUUUGAUUGCAACUCAGAUGAUAUGCCAGUAAGAAGUGGCUAGAAGAGGAAAUCCCUGUUUAUGUGACUCACUGUUUUUGUGCAAAUAUUAACUUUGGCUGGUGAUGUCUGACACCUUAUUUGCUCAAAUCCGACAGUCUGGAUACACAAGGAGAUUAAAAUGAGUCACCACCUCCCUACCUCCCCCCACUUCUUCCAAACCUCCCUCCCUUCCUCCACGCUGGGGCGUGAUUCUGUUUACGGUGUGAAAUAUAAGAAAAGAAAUAAAGGGAACCUAGGGCAGUAUGUUGAAUUAAAAAGUUCCCUGAUGAGAAAACUACGCACAAGAAAAAAAUCACUCCCAAAGGAAAGUCUAAAUAAAAGCCCUGCUAACUUAUAUUUAUUUAAAUUCACUGUGUAGAAGCCAGUGGUGACCGGCGGGUUUAAUGGG